rnacentral:rRNA from 1 species
CCUACGUGAGGCAGCAGUGGGGAAUAUUGCACAAUGGGGGAAACCCUGAUGCAGCGACGCCGCGUGAGUGAAGAAGGAAUUCGUUACGUAAAGCUCUAUCAGCAGGGAAGAAAAUGACGGUACCUGAGUUAGCAGGCCCGGCUCACUAAGUGCAAGCAGCCGCGGUAAUACGUAGGGGGCAGGCGUGAUCCGGAUUGACUGGGUGUAAAGGGAGGGUAGACGGUGCGGCAAGUCGGGAGUGAAAUGCCGCGGCGUAACUGCGGAACUGCUGUGGAAACUGGCGAGCUAGAGUGCGGGAGGGGUAAGCGGAAUUCCUAGUGUAGCGGUGAAAUGCGUAGAUAUUAGGAGGAACACCGGUGGCGAAGGCGGCCUGCUGGACCGUAACUGACGUGGAGGCUCGAAAGCGUGGGGAGCAAACAGGAUUAGAUACCCUUGUAGUC